rnacentral:rRNA from 1 species
UACGUAGGGUGCAAGCGUUAUCCGGAUUUAUUGGGCGUAAAGGGCUCGUAGGCGGUUCGUCGCGUCCGGUGUGAAAGUCCAUCGCUUAACGGUGGAUCCGCGCCGGGUACGGGCGGGCUUGAGUGCGGUAGGGGAGACUGGAAUUCCCGGUGUAACGGUGGAAUGUGUAGAUAUCGGGAAGAACACCAAUGGCGAAGGCAGGUCUCUGGGCCGUUACUGACGCUGAGGAGCGAAAGCGUGGGUAUCGAACAGG